GGAGAGAUGGCCGAGAGGUUUAAAGUGUCGGAUUGCUAAUCCGUUGUACAUAGAUUUUUGUACCGAGGGUUCGAAUCCCUCUCUCUCCU
rnacentral:tRNA from 1 species